rnacentral:rRNA from 1 species
UACGAAGGGGGCUAGCGUUGCUCGGAAUCACUGGGCGUAAAGGGUGCGUAGGCGGGUCUUUAAGUCAGGGGUGAAAUCCUGGAGCUCAACUCCAGAACUGCCUUUGAUACUGAGGAUCUUGAGUUCGGGAGAGGUGAGUGGAACUGCGAGUGUAGAGGUGAAAUUCGUAGAUAUUCGCAAGAACACCAGUGGCGAAGGCGGCUCACUGGCCCGAUACUGACGCUGAUGCGCGAAAGCCAGGGGAGCGGAACGGG